UACGGGGGGAGCAAGCGUUGUUCGGAUUUACUGGGCGUAAAGGGCGCGUAGGCGGCGCAACAAGUCACUUGUGAAAUCUCCGGGCUUAACCCGGAGCGGCCAAGUGAUACUGUCGUGCUAGAGUGCGGAAGGGGCUACUGGAAUUCUCGGUGUAGCGGUGAAAUGCGUAGAUAUCAGGAGGAACACCGAUGGCGAAAGCAGGUACCUGGACCAUUACUGACGCUCAGCUGCGAAAGCUAGGGGAGCAAACAGG
rnacentral:rRNA from 1 species